UUGAAACACCGGUUCUCUUACAAUUACCAAAGUUAAGCAAUGUUGAGCCUAGUCAGCACCUAGAUGGGUGACUGCUUGAGAAUACCAGGUGCUAUA